rnacentral:rRNA from 1 species
CCAGCCUGCCCAGUGACAAAGUUAAACGGCCGCGGUACCCUAACCGUGCGAAGGUAGCGCAAUCACUUGUUCUUUAAAUGAGGACUAGUAUGAAUGGCAUCACGAGGGUUAUACUGUCUCCCCCUUUUAAUCAGUGAAACUGAUCUUCCCGUGAAGAAGCGGGAAUAUACAUAUAAGACGAGAAGACCCCAUGGAGCUUAAAACUCAGUAUCAACUGCCCCCUAAUACACCCACUUAAUUAAGCAGAUAUGACUACUAGUUUUCGGUUGGGGUGACCGCGGAGCAAAACAAAACCUCCACGAUGAAAGGAAUUAACCUCCUAAUCAAAGAGCCACAUCUCUAAGAAUCAACAAAUUGACAUUUAUUGAUCCAAUUUUUUUGAUCAACGAACCAAGUUACCCUGGGGAUAACAGCGCAAUCCAUUUCAAGAGCCCCUAUCGACAAAUGGGUUUACGACCUCGAUGUUGGAUCAGGGUAUCCCAGUGGUGCAGCCGCUACUAAAGGUUCGUUUGUUCAACGAUUAAAACCCUACGUGAUCUGAG